rnacentral:rRNA from 1 species
AGGAUUAACGCUGGCGGCGUGCCUAACACAUGCAAGUCGAACGAGGUAGCAAUACCUAGUGGCAGACGGGUGAGUAACGCGUGGUCAACCUACCGCUUUGUGGGGGAUAACUAGCCGAAAGGUUAGCUAAUACCGCAUACGUCGCAGGCCGGCAUCGGUCGACGAUAAAAGGAGCAAUCCGCAAGGUGACGGGACCGCGUCCCAUUAGCUAGUUGGUGAGGUAAUGGCCCACCAAGGCUCCGAUGGGUAGCUGGUUUGAGAGAGCGACCAGCCACACUGGGACUGAGAUACGGCCCAGACUCCUACGGGAGGCAGCAGUGAGGAAUUUUCCGCAAUGGGCGAAAGCCUGACGGAGCGACGCCGCGUGUGGGAAGAAGGCCUUCGGGUCGUAACCACUGUCGAAGGGGAAGAUAUUGACGGUACCCUUGGAGGAAGCCCCGGCUAACGUACGCGCCAGCAGCCGC